rnacentral:lncRNA from 1 species
CCCAGAGAAUAUGACUGACUUGCCCAAGGUCAUAAAGUUAGUAAGAGCUAGAGCUAGGUUCUAUGGAAGUCACUAUUUGCUACCACCCAGAUCCCCCUUCAGGAUUGAAGCCUUACUCCUCCAGCUGCUGAGAGUACCAUUGGCUGACAGCCCUCAGCUGUCUCCCUCUCUGCUCAUUGCCCUCUAUGACUCACUUUAUGGCAAAGGGGGUGCACCGGAAGAAAUACAGCCAAUGGUCCUAUCUCAUAUAGCACCACAUAGAAGAAUCUGGUCUGCUGGAGUGAAUGGCCUGUUGAAGGCACAGUGGAGGGACCAGCUUGAAGAUGGU